UUUCUUCUUUUGAGAGAAACGACUCGUUCCCGAACUGUGUGCUUACUUUUUCUCCGUCGUGGUUCAGCUUUCGAAGAUGUUAAAAGAUAUGUAGACAUCGAAAGCUUCGGAGAAAAGUGCCGGUUUUGGGUGUGUGGCGAGGAGGGGCAACUCUCUCCGAAGAUAAAAAGGAUUUUCGUUUUUCUUCUCGUUUCAUUUUCACGUUUUUGGUGGGUCCGACGUCGGAAUUUCGGGAGAUAAGGGCCUCGUCUACUCCAAAGUUCUCCACCGGUGCCACACUGGAUUCUGCGACUUUGGCCAUUCAACUUGAGCAUUCGUCGGUCGGGGACCGGCGUCGACGGCGGUGAGACGUCGUCAUGACUGCAGCCCACGUGACCUGCUCCCUUCCCGCGGCGCCAUGACAUCCGAGGCCUUGCCGCUGGUGCAUGGCAUCCUGGUGGUCCUCCUGCUCUUGGGACGGUGCUGCCACGGCGCCGAGCCGGACGCUGCGCUCAACUCCACUCCAUUAGGAGUCAACAUCACUACCAGUACCAUUACACAAGCUCCAGAAACCACGCCACUCUUCGUUACUGAGGGGUCUACUUUAACCAAGACGUCUCUCGCUGAAGAGGUUUCUACCAGCCGAGUUGACGGCCAGAGUGCCAACCAUUCAGAGUCUUUCCCGCAAGACAAAACUACCGCGCAGACAAUUUCAACCUCAGCUUUGGCAAGGACAUCAGCGCCUCCGCAACAGACAUCCGCAAUCACCACUGCCUCUCCCUUGUCGGGUUCGACGCACGUUGGAACACCCCCAACUCCAUCACCUUCUGCAACCCCGUCACAGGAAUUGAAGAAUGACACGUCACUUGAGAGCUCUACACAGCCCUUCGAAAGCACGACCUCAAGAUCGGAGAAAACAUCGCCAACUACAACUAAGCCGCCUGAGCGUACCAUAACGGAUGCAUCCGCAUCAAACUCGACCAGUCUUGAGCAGAAGACUGCGACACCGACCAUGACAACGCCUAAGCGUCGCGUCGUUGAUGACGUCGACGACGUCGUCAUGAAGUCGACUCCGACUGUGAGACGUCUCAUGUUGGUCCUCCGAGGAAACUGCAGUCACGACAACCUCAAGACGGACAUCGAGCAUGCCUUCCAGAACCUCAGCCCCAUUGAGAACAUCAGCGUCACCGAGAUCCAAUGCAGCACUCUGCUUGACGUGAACGUGACGCUCAAGGCCGGAGAGCUAGAGCUCAAGCAGCUCCUCCGCAACCUGAGCCUCGCGAGGAACCUUCUGGUGAACAGUUCUUCGGGAAGACACUUCCAGCUCGCCGACUUCUCCGUCAAGGAACAGGUCUCCACCGACGGAGCACGGUCAGUGAGACCCCGCUGGAAACCGACACGAGAAGAACUCAUCAUCUACAUAGCUGUCGCUGUCCUGUUCGUCAUCGUCCUUGUCAUCGCGUUCGUCGUCUGCAGCAUCCGUUGCUGUAGGCGUCAACCGUCGAAGACGCUCGACUUUUUGGAGACUCCCAGACUGAAUCUUCGCCUCGAAGACUACACACUGACCAGAAUCCCGCGGCCGCACACCGUGUACGCGGACCACCUUCGCACCCCGGAUCAAGAGCUCGGUGUCGUUCAGGCAUUCGACACAUGCGUUGUCCCUCUCGAAGACGUGGCCGUCCGCGACCCCCAGCCUCGGCGUCAAGAAGGCUGGAAGAGCCAACAACUCCGGACCUUCGGGAGGACCAAGAACUCGCCCUCUAGCGGUCGCCUGGUGGUCCGACGGACAGUUCCACCCGAAGACGAUGACGAAGAGGAGUACCGGGAGUCUCUGAAGAACGGCAGGGUUCUGUCCACGUCGACGGAGCGGCUCGCCCGCAGAGAUUCGGGCGGUUGGAAGCAGGGAGUUGAUAACCCCAUUUACUUCGGAGACCGUCGGAAGUCCAAGGGAUGAGCCUUCGCACAGUGGCACUCUCUCUUGCAAUAUGGCGCAAAGUCGUAUUGUCUCCCACUUAAGCCGACUGCAUCCGGAGGAUUAGGCCUAGCAGAAUCUUGGCCGUCUUAUUGAGAUGCGCUCGUUUGGCGGCGGUUCCCAUUCCGUUGUUUGAGCUGGGCUUAGAAAAGGGCUUCCUUUGGAAACUGAAGCCCGGCUAAUUCUGAAUGAUGUCUGUUGUUGUGACGUAGGCUUAAACCUGCGCACGUGCCGAGUGAGCUCCGAGGUUCUUCCGCCGCAUGCUCUACGUAAGAACUGGAUUUCCCGGAAGGCAGGCGGUGUUUGCGACAUACAGAUGAACCUGAAUUAAUCUCCUUUGCGACUCCUGUACGUGAUCCCCUCACCUUUGUUUUAUGAUACUUUACAUUGUAGUUAUAUUUUUGUUUAUUGUUGCUUUCGUGUUCUGGCAGUACCCGUCUCGUACGAGUUUGAUUAUAAUCUCGUAUUUUCAGUAUUUUCUUUUUCCAGUGUCAAUUUGGUGUGUUGUCGGAAGGAUGAGUAUCCUCUAGUUCCUGGACAUUGACAGUAUUUUAGUUUGUUGUCAGUUGUUCAGUCUUUCGGAUGCAUUUGACACGCGGUGACCCUUUGCGGACUCUGCUGCUGUUGAGUUAUACUUUUUGUUAUCGUUUAUUUUGUUGCGCGGAAGACUUAAUAGAGGUCACGGUACUUUAGGCCCGAUAAAACCAGUCUCUGUUUUGUUUUUGUAACUGGCAUUAUAGCAUACAAAGAAAAGAAGCCAAACGCCAAAGACACGUGACACAAAGUAUAAGUGGUACUGUGAAACAUUCACUGUAUAAAAACAAAUGUUGCUGUUCUGGGUCUAUAGUUACCGCCUAACGUUCCCAGCAUAUUGGAAUGAGCGCGUCGAGAAGACCUAUACAUAGUGUAAUAUCUUUAAUUUUGUUGUUUUGUUUUGUUGAGUGUACUAUGGUCCCGAACCGUAGCCGAUGCGGUGGGUAUACGCCAAUACGCAUGGAACGCGAAAGGAAUACAGGAAAAUAUUCCAUUACUUUUGUAUUCAGACUUCUGUGAGACUCAAUAAGAAAUAAACAGGUGUGUACUACAUUAGUACGCAGACAUA
rnacentral:sRNA from 1 species